UACAUGGGGUGCAAACGUUGCUCGGAAUUAUUGGGCGUAAAGCGCACGUAGGCGGUCAUUUAAGUCGGAUGUGAAAGCCCUCGGCUCAACUGAGGAAGUGCAUCCGAAACUGAAUAGCUAGAGUAUGGAAGAGGGUCGCGGAAUUCCCGGUGUAGAGGUGAAAUUCGUAGAUAUCGGGAGGAACACCGGUGGCGAAGGCGGCGACCUGGGCCAAUACUGACGCUGAGGUGCGAAAGCGUGGGGAGCAAACAGG
rnacentral:rRNA from 1 species